GACGAACGCUGGCGGCGUGCUUAACACAUGCAAGUCGAACGGAAAGGCCUGCUUUCCCUUGUGGAUUGCGGGUACUCGAGUGGCGAACGGGUGAGUAACACGUGAGUGAUCUGCCCCCAACUUGGGUAUAAGCCUGGGAAACUGGGUCUAAUUCCCGAUAGGACUGCAGGGUGGUGCCUGUGGUGGAAAACGAUUUUCUAGUGGUUGGGGAUGAGCUCGCGGCCUAUCAGCUUGUUGGUGGGGUAAUGGCCUACCAAGGCGGCGACGGGUAGCCGGCCUGGGAGGGUGGACGGCCACAUUGGGACUGAGAUACGGCCCAGACUCCUACGGGAGGCAGCAGUGGGGAAUAUAGCACAAUGGGCGGAAGCCUGAGGCAGCGACGCCGCGUGGGGGAUGACGGCCUUCGGGUGGUAAACUCCUUUCGACCGCGAGGAAGCCACCUGGUUGGAAGGGUGGUGACGGUAGUGGUAGAAGAAGCACCGGCUAACUACGUG
rnacentral:rRNA from 1 species